GAAACUUUUUAUUUGAAGAGAGCAAGUCUUUAAAUAGAAAGUGAAUGGAGGUGGGGCUCUGGCUGGGGAGGCAAGAGCGACUGUGAGGAAGGGAGUCCAGCCUCUCUCCUUGCAGCACGGGGCACUGACGACAAGGCUUUUUCUGUUCCCAGGGAGGAAGAAUUACAUAAGAAUGUAAAGAGAUGGCUUAGUAGAACUCUGAACAGCAAAAGGCUCACGGAGGUCCAAGCACGUGCCGGAAGGUGGAAACAAGAGGCCUUUGCAUCUUCAGGCAUUUGCUGAGUUGCUCAGACGGUCUGGAUGGUGGAAUUUGCCAGAAAUGGGUCUUCAUUGCAUGGAGUCAGAGACUCAGGGCUCUCAGCUGCCCUGACCGCACCUCCGCCCAAGCCUGAGGCAUUUUGCGCCUGAGAGGAGAGGUGACAGAGUGGGCACAGGAACCAGCCACAACCACAGGGGCUCUUGCAAAUCGCAGCACAUAACAAACAGCCCUUGCCUGGUUUGCAGACAGGUUUAUUUCUGGGAAAGUUAAAUUCAGGACUCGCUCCAUGCAAAAUUGUAAAGUAGCUGUGCGUGUCUACUGCAGAGGCCCAGCCAGAAUACUACGUGGCACUGGGGCAUCUGGAGGACAUACCUGAACCUGCAGAAGGUUGGAGCGUUCCUUACCAUACUCCGGACCUGGCCAGGUCAGAAAGUGGAGCUCUGGAAGUUAAGGAACUUGCCUGGGGCCAUGCUGCUUGCUCAUCUAAGAAAACACAAUAAAGGGUCAGUGCCAUAUAACAAAGCGUGCAGCAUAAAGGUAUGUUGCAUAGCUAAUUAAUGAAAAUAUCAUCUUAUUUUCUGCAUAUUCCAAGACUUUUAAAAAUGUGUAAUUUGUUUUGAUUUUUUGUUGUAAAUACACAUUCAAUUUCAUGUAGAAUUUUGCAUCAGCAGUUUUGUGUUCAUUCUCUUAAAGAGGCCCUCCCCUGCAGCAGUUAAGUUUCCGGCCCCAUAAAAGCCAGAUCCACGCCGACCUGAUGGACACCAAAGGUGGAGGAGACGGUUAGGAGGGAGACAUGGAGAUGAGAAGAGAAGGGGUGGGUGGGGAGGGGAAAACCAGCUGGUGGCAGCUUGUGAGAGGCCCCCUGCGCCAUGCUGAAGAGGAUGAACUCUUGCUUGGGAGUCAAAGGAUUUUUAAGCAUGGAAAUGGCAGAAUGAGAUUUGUGUCUUCAGACAGUCCUGGAAGAAGGGGGUAGAACUGUCUACAGAAGGGGAAAAGGGGUAGAAAGCUGGAGAGUCAGGAGGCCAAGGCCACAGCAUAAAUUCAAGACACAAUAAUACCCAUUUCUAGGAGUUUUCAAGAAAAUUAAAUACGGUGAUGUGCGCAGGAGCGUCGUGUGAAACAUGAGGAGUGUUGUGACUACUGAUGGUGGUGGUGCGCGGUCUCUAUCCUGGGCCAGCAUGAAGGAGAGCAGGGUCCCGUGGAGAAGUGCUGGCUCCAGCUCACUCCUGCCUGCACAUGCCACCUGCCCCAUUAGCCUGCGUGCGUUUCCUCUGCCCCUUCUGUCUUGCUGGUGGAGAUUGCCUCCCAUCCUAGAGGCUGAGAACCAGGUAUUCACCUCCCCAGCCUCUCAGGGCCCAUAACCAAUCAAGGCCAAAGGACAAGAGGGCGCGUCUGCCGAAGGCCUCCCUAAGAAAACAAAGCAAAUGAAAGAACCUCCCGUCCUGCCUUCUGGUGGGCUCAUGUGAAGAUGGCACCUGGGCCAGUGGCCGCCAUCUUGUGGCCUGGGAAGGGCAGGGUGUGGCCAGGACAAAAGCUAGCCUUGUGAGGCGGCAGCAAAGAAGGACCCCAAGCCUCCAGAAUUUUUAUGAGGCAAUAAUGAACAUUACGGUUUAAGCUCCUGGAAAUGGAACAUUCUGAUAAUGGCUGAAGCAUCUGAAAGGGCAGCCUUGUGUCAAAGCCAUUCCGUGUCUUGUGCAUAUGAGCUUCUGUUUCACGUCAUCACCCAACAUCUUCAGACGGGACAGUCUGUGAAGAAGUGGUCUUGGAAGGCCCACAAAUGACGUCUGUGCGGGGUAGGGGAAGGAGGCUUGACCUCCAUGUGAAUGACUGUAUACGGUCAGUGGUAAACGUUUCUUUACCCAACAUACAACCUGCACUCCUGUCUACUUGUCUGGAUGUGUUAAAUAACCUCAACUUUUUCUCUGAAAUAAAGCACCACGUAUAGGAAUUCA